rnacentral:rRNA from 1 species
AGAGUUUGAUCCUGGCUCAGAUUGAACGCUGGCGGUAUGCUUAACACAUGCAAGUCGAACGGUAGCAGGCCUUCGGGCGCUGACGAGUGGCGGACGGGUGAGUAACGCGUAGGAAUCUGCCUCAUAGUGGGGGACAACGUGGGGAAACUCACGCUAAUACCGCAUACGCCCUACGGGGGAAAGCGGGGGAUCUUCGGACCUCGCGCUAUGAGAUGAGCCUGCGUUAGAUUAGCUAGUUGGUGGGGUAAAGGCCUACCAAGGCGACGAUCUAUAGCUGGUCUGAGAGGACGAUCAGCCACACUGGGACUGAGACACGGCCCAGACUCCUACGGGAGGCAGCAGUGGGGAAUAUUGGACAAUGGGCGAAAGCCUGAUCCAGCAAUACCGCGUGUGUGAAGAAGGCCUUAGGGUUGUAAAGCACUUUCAAUUGGGAGGAAAACCUACCGGUCAAUACCCGGUAGCUUGACAUUACCUUUAGAAGAAGCACCGGCUAACUCCGUGCCAGCAGCCGCGGUAAUACGGAGGGUGCGAGCGUUAAUCGGAAUUACUGGGCGUAAAGCGUGCGUAGGCGGUUCGUUAAGUCAGAUGUGAAAGCCCUGGGCUCAACCUGGGAACGGCAUUUGAAACUGGCGGACUAGAGUUUAGUAGAGGGGAGUGGAAUUUCAGGUGUAGCGGUGAAAUGCGUAGAUAUCUGAAGGAACACCAGUGGCGAAGGCGACUCCCUGGACUAGAACUGACGCUGAGGUACGAAAGCGUGGGUAGCAAACAGGAUUAGAUACCCUGGUAGUCC